rnacentral:sRNA from 1 species
ACCAAACCUCUUCGAGGCACGAGGCACAACAGGCUGCUCUGGGAUUCUCUUCAGCCAAUCUUCAUUGCUCAAGUGUCUGAAGCAGCCAUGGCAGAAGUACCUGAACUCGCCAGUGAAAUGAUGGCUUAUUACAGUGGCAAUGAGGAUGACUUGUUCUUUGAAGCUGAUGGCCCUAAACAGAUGAAGGUAAGACUAUGGGUUUAACUCCCAACCCAAGGAAGGGCUCUAACACAGGGAAAGCUCAAAGAAGGGAGUUCUGGGCCACUUUGAUGCCAUGGUAUUUUGUUUUAGAAAGACUUUAACCUCUUCCAGUGAGACACAGGCUGCACCACUUGCUGACCUGGCCACUUGGUCAUCAUAUCACCACAGUCACUCACUAACGUUGGUGGUGGUGGCCACACUUGGUGGUGACAGGGGAGGAGUAGUGAUAAUGUUCCCCGUUUCAUAGUAGGAAGACAACCAAGUCUUCAACACAAAUUUGAUUCUCCUUUUAGGAGAUGGGUUCAGCCUAUGCCAAUCACUUGAGUUAAACUCUGAAACCAAGAGAUGAUCUUGAGAACUAACAUAUGUC